rnacentral:lncRNA from 1 species
CCUCUGCCUCUAAACUUCAGUCAAUGGGGAGAGAAAAGUACCAGUCAUCCCUCUAACACAACCCUCAGAGACCAAUCUGGUUUUCAUUGGAAUCCACUCAACCCUCUUCCCUGACCCAUUCUCACUCUGGUGAAGUUCUGAGAAGUCCAAUCCUAGCCCUGCUCCCUACCAGCCUUUUUCCUUAGUCUCCCCCCCACCCCCCACCCCAGGCUUCAGUUUUCUCAUCUGGAAAAUGAGUAUGGAAGUUGGGCUUCGGACUUCUAAUUCUGACUCUCUCUGAUUCUGUAAUGCUUAGAUCAUCUCGCCACCUUCCCUGGGGGAGGAAACAUCAGGAUAACCAGACCUGCCCACCGCUUCCCUGCUAAGGGGACCAACAGGCUAGUGACCAUCCAAUUUGGCUGUGGCAUCCCCUAAAGGAAAGUAGAACGGAUCAGACAGAAAGGAAGCAUGGAGGAGAAGAUAAAGGGACUUUGCUGGCAAAAGGAGCUGUAUUUCCCAGGACUUGAUUCCCACUCCCAUCCGAAGUGUUUACUCCAAAGGCAAAAGGAUGACACUGGAGUCUGGAGGCAUCUAAGUAUCCAAACUGUCCUGGAUCCAGAAGGCAGAAGGCAGAGAUGGAUGAGAUGACUGCUAUUUCCUCCUUUCCAUACCAUGCAAGAACUUUCCAAAUGCUGAGCUAACGCUGGCAAUACAUGCACCAAUAUCAUCUAUCAUGUGGAUAUUUUUGGAAAGUAUACUGCCAAGGUUUGUAAACUUAUCCACAGCAUU